GACAGUGUGGUGUAGUGGUUUGAAUGUUGGCCUACGAUUCUGGAGACCAGGGUUCAAAUCUCUGCUUGGCCA